CCUACGGGAGGCAGCAGUAAGGAAUAUUGGUCAAUGGACGAGAGUCUGAACCAGCCAUGCCGCGUGAAGGAUGAAGGCCCUCUGGGUUGUAAACUUCUUUUAUAGGGGACGAAAAAAGGGAAUUCUUUCCCACUUGACGGUACCCUAGGAAUAAGCACCGGCUAACUCCGUGCCAGCAGCCGCGGUAAUACGGAGGGUGCAAGCGUUAUCCGGAUUUACUGGGUUUAAAGGGUGCGUAGGUGGGCAGUUAAGUCAGUGGUGAAAUCUCCGAGCUUAACUCGGAAACUGCCAUUGAUACUAUCUGUCUUGAAUAUCCUGGAGGUGAGCGGAAUAUGUCAUGUAGCGGUGAAAUGCUUAGAUAUGACAUAGAACACCAAUUGCGAAGGCAGCUCACUACGGGAUUAUUGACACUGAGGCACGAAAGCGUGGGGAUCAAACAGGAUUAGAUACCCUGGUAGUCCACGCCCUAAACUAUGGAUACUCGACAUCAGCGAUACACUGUUGGUGUCUGAGCGAAAGCAUUAAGUAUCCCACCUGGGAAGUACGAUCGCAAGAUUGAAACUUAAAUGAAAUUGACGG
rnacentral:rRNA from 1 species